UACGUAGGGGGCAAGCGUUGUCCGGAAUCAUUGGGCGUAAAGAGCGUGUAGGCGGCCCGAUAAGUCCGCUGUGAAAGUCCAGGGCUCAACCCUGGAAUGCCGGUGGAUACUGUCGGGCUCGAAUCCGGAAGAGGUGAGUGGAAUUCCUGGUGUAGCGGUGAAAUGCGCAGAUAUCAGGAGGAACACCGGUGGCGAAGGCGGCUUGCUGGGCCUUACCUGACGCUGAGGAGCGAAAGCGUGGGGAGCGAACAGG
rnacentral:rRNA from 1 species